rnacentral:tRNA from 1 species
ACUAUUUUGGCAGAAGAGUGCAUUGAAUUUAGAAUUCAAACAUGUAGAUAAAAUUAAAAAUAGUA